GAAUAUUAGUCAAUGAUCGAAAGAUUGAUCUAGUUACUUAGAAAGAUGAAGAUUAUAAAAAGAAUAAAAAAAGAAAAUAAUAAUGAAGAAUAUAAAAUCAAUAUAUAUAUAGAAGAAAAAAGAUGAGAAUAUAUAUAGAAGUCUUAACCAAAAUUAGUGCCAGCAGUUGCGGCUAAACUAAGGAGGCGAACGUUAAUCAUUAAUGGCUUAAAGGAUCCGUAGAAUGAUAUAUAAAAAAAUAUAUUAGAGUUAAAUAGAAUAAUAAUGAAAAAUUAUAUUGAGAGAUGAAAUGUGUGGAAAAUAAUUAGACAAAUAAACGUGAAGAUAAAAUUAAAAAUUUAACUGACAUUGAGGGAUGAAGGCAUGAGUAGCAAAACGGAUUAGAUACCCGAGUAGUUCAUGCAGUAAACGAUGAAUACUUAUUAUAAAAAUAAAAGCGAAAGCAAAAGUAUUCCGCCAGGAGAGUAUAGCUUCAAAGUUGAAAUCCAAGACAAUAGACGGUUACAGUUGUAGGCAGUGGAUUGUGUUAUUUAAU
rnacentral:rRNA from 1 species